rnacentral:rRNA from 1 species
CGUAGGGUGCGAGCGUUAAUCGGAAUUACUGGGCGUAAAGCGUGCGCAGGCGGUUUGUUAAGAUAGGCGUGAAAUCCCCGGGCUCAACCUGGGAACUGCGCUUAUGACUGGCAAGCUAGAGUACGGCAGAGGGGGUGGAAUUCCACGUGUAGCAGUGAAAUGCGUAGAGAUGUGGAGGAACACCAAUGGCGAAGGCAGCCCCCUGGGUCGAUACUGACGCUCAUGCACGAAAGCGUGGGUAGCAAACAGGAUUAGAUACCCUGGUAGUCCACGCCCUAAACGAUGUCAACUAGGUGUUGGGAGGGUAAAACCUUUUAGUACCGGAGCUAACGCGUGAAGUUGACCGCCUGGGGAGUACGGCCGCAAGGUUAA